rnacentral:rRNA from 1 species
CAGUCGCCGCGGUAAUGCGUAGGUGGCAAGCGUUGUCCGGAAUUAUUGGGCGUAAAGGGCUCGCAGGCGGUUUCUUAAGUCUGAUGUGAAAGCCCCCGGCUCAACCGGGGAGGGUCAUUGGAAACUGGGAAACUUGAGUGCAGAAGAGGAGAGUGGAAUUCCACGUGUAGCGGUGAAAUGCGUAGAGAUGUGGAGGAACACCAGUGGCGAAGGCGACUCUCUGGUCUGUAACUGACGCUGAGGAGCGAAAGCGUGGGGAGCGAACAGGAUUAGAUACCCGAGUAGUCCCUGUCUCUUAUAC